GACGAACGCUGGCGGCGUGCUUAACACAUGCAAGUCGAACGGAAAGGCCCUGCUUUUGUGGGGUGCUCGAGUGGCGAACGGGUGAGUAACACGUGAGUAACCUGCCCUUGACUUUGGGAUAACUUCAGGAAACUGGGGCUAAUACCGGAUAGGAGCUCCUGCUGCAUGGUGGGGGUUGGAAAGUUUCGGCGGUUGGGGAGGGACUCGCGGUUUAUCAGCUUGUUGGGGGGGUAGGGGCUUACCAAGGCUUUGACGGGUAGCCGGCCGGAGGGGGUGACCCGCCACAUUGGGAAGGAAGUGAGGCCCGGCCCCGUCCGGGGGCCCAGAGUGGGGAAUGUUGCGCGAGGGGCGGCCGCGUCGCGCAGUAUGGCGGGUGGGGGGAGGCGCGCCCCGGGGGUGCAGACCGCUACGGGCGGAGACGAUGCGGCAGGGAGGGUAAUGGUCAGAGAAGCACGGGGCAACUCCGC
rnacentral:rRNA from 1 species